rnacentral:rRNA from 1 species
UUGGGCGUAAAGCGAGCGCAGGCGGUUUUUUAAGUCUGAUGUGAAAGCCUUCGGCUCAACCGAAGAAGUGCAUCGGAAACUGGGAAACUUGAGUGCAGAAGAGGACAGUGGAACUCCAUGUGUAGCGGUGAAAUGCGUAGAUAUAUGGAAGAACACCAGUGGCGAAGGCGGCUGUCUGGUCUGUAACUGACGCUGAGGCUCGAAAGUAUGGGUAGCAAACAGGAUUAGAUACCCUGGUAGUCCAUACCGUAAACGAUGAAUGCUAAGUGUUGGAGGGUUUCCGCCCUUCAGUGCUGCAGCUAACGCAUUAAGCAUUCCGCCUGGGGAGUACGGCCGCAAGGCUGAAACUCAAAGGAAUUGACGGGGGCCCGCACAAGCGGUGGAGCAUGUGGUUUAAUUCGAAGCUACGCGAAGAACCUUACCAGGUCUUGACAUACUAUGCAAAUCUAAGAGAUUAGACGUUCCCUUCGGGGACAUGGAUACAGGUGGUGCAUGGUUGUCGUCAGCUCGUGUCGUGAGAUGUUGGGUUAAGUCCCGCAACGAGCGCAACCCUUAUUAUCAGUUGCCAGCAUUAAGUUGGGCACUCUGGUGAGACUGCCGGUGACAAACCGGAGGAAGGUGGGGAUGACGUCAAAUCAUCAUGCCCCUUAUGACCUGGGCUACACACGUGCUACAAUGGAUGGUACAACGAGUUGCGAACUCGCGAGAGUAAGCUAAUCUCUUAAAGCCAUUCUCAGUUCGGAUUGUAGGCUGCAACUCGCCUACAUGAAGUCGGAAUCGCUAGUAAUCGCGGAUCAGCAUGCCGCGGUGAAUACGUUCCCGGGCCUUGUACACACCGCCCG